ACAACACAAGAGGGGUGCCCCGCUGCUGGCGCAGAGAGGCUGAGAUUAUACCCUAUGAACUUGAUGCGGGCAAUACCGCCGAAAGGACUUGUUCAUAGACCGUA
rfam:Alistipes sp. An31A An31A_contig_1, whole genome shotgun sequence.